rnacentral:rRNA from 1 species
UUUUCGUCAAUGGGCGCAAGCCUGAACGAGCGAUGCCGCGUGAGUGAAGAAGGCCUUCGGGUCGUAAAGCUCUGUUGCGGGGGAAAAAAGGCAGCAUCAGGAAAUGGGUGCUGACUGAUGGUGCCCCGCCAGAAAGUCACGGCUAACUACGUGCCAGCAGCCGCGGUAAUACGUAGGUGGCGAGCGUUAUCCGGAAUGAUUGGGCGUAAAGGGUGCGCAGGCGGUCCUGCAAGUCUGGAGUGAAACGCAUGAGCUCAACUCAUGCAUGGCUUUGGAAACUGGAGGACUGGAGAGCAGGAGAGGGCGGUGGAACUCCAUGUGUAGCGGUAAAAUGCGUAGAUAUAUGGAAGAACACCAGUGGCGAAGGCGGCCGCCUGGCCUGUUGACUGACGCUGAGGCACGAAAGCGUGGGGAGCAAAUAGG